rnacentral:rRNA from 1 species
GUCAAGUCAUCAUGGCCCUUAUGGCCAGGGCUACACACGUGCUACAAUGGCCGGUACAGAGGGUCGCCAACCCGCGAGGGGGAGCCAAUCCCAAAAAGCCGGUCGUAGUCCGGAUCGCAGUCUGCAACUCGGCUGCGUGAAGUCGGAAUCGCUAGUAAUCGCGAAUCAGCGAUGUCGCGGUGAAUACGUUCCCGGGUCUU